CCUACGGGAGGCAGCAGUGGGGAAUUUUGGACAAUGGGCGAAAGCCUGAUCCAGCAAUGCCGCGUGAGUGAAGAAGGCCUUCGGGUUGUAAAGCUCUUUUGUCAGGGAAGAAACGGUGAGGGCUAAUAUCUCUUGCUAAUGACGGUACCUGAAGAAUAAGCACCGGCUAACUACGUGCCAGCAGCCGCGGUAAUACGUAGGGUGCAAGCGUUAAUCGGAAUUACUGGGCGUAAAGCGUGCGCAGGCGGUUUUGUAAGUCUGUCGUGAAAUCCCCGGGCUCAACCUGGGAAUU
rnacentral:rRNA from 1 species